rnacentral:rRNA from 1 species
AGUGAACGCUGGCGGUAGGCCUAACACAUGUAAGUCGAACGGCAGCACAGUAAGAGCUUGCUCUUACGGGUGGCGAGUGGCGGACGGGUGAGGAAUACAUCGGAAUCUACUUUUUCGUGGGGGAUAACGUAGGGAAACUUACGCUAAUGCCGCAUACGACCUACGGGUGAAAGCAGGGGAUCUUCGGACCUUGCGCGAUUGAAUGAGCCGAUGUCGGAUUAGCUAGUUGGCGGGGUAAAGGCCCACCAAGGCGACGAUCCGUAGCUGGUCUGAGAGGAUGAUCAGCCACACUGGAACUGAGACACGGUCCAGACUCCUACGGGAGGCAGCAGUGGGGAAUAUUGGACAAUGGGCGCAAGCCUGAUCCAGCCAUACCGCGUGGGUGAAGAAGGCCUUCGGGUUGUAAAGCCCUUUUGUUGGGAAAGAAAAGCAGCAGGUUAAUACCCCGCUGUUCUGACGGUACCCAAAGAAUAAGCACCGGCUAACUUCGUG